rnacentral:rRNA from 1 species
CCAGACUCCUACGGGAGGCAGCAGUGGGGGAUAUUGCACAAUGGGGGGAACCCUGAUGCAGCGACGCCGCGUGGGUGAAGGAGCGUUUCGGCGCGUAAAGCCCUAUCGGCAGGGAAGAAGGAGGACGGUACCUGACUAAGAAGCCCCGGCUAACUACGUGCCAGCAGCCGCGGGAAUACGUAGGGGGCAAGCGUUAUCCGGAUUUACUGGGUGUAAAGGGAGCGUAGACGGCAGUGCAAGUCCGGAGUGAAAGCCCGGGGCUCAACCCUGGGACUGCUCUGGAAACUGUAAAGCUAGAGUGCGGGAGGGGCAGGCGGAAUUCCUGGUGUAGCGGUGAAAUGCGUAGAUAUCAGGAGGAACACCGGCGGCGAAGGCGGCCUGCUGGACCGCUACUGACGUUGAGGCUCGAAAGCGUGGGGAGCGAACAGGAUUAGAUACCCUCGUA